rnacentral:sRNA from 1 species
UUGACAGUUCUGGAGCCCGAUGUCCUCUGUUUUCCCACACUAUCUUUAGAAUAUGGUGCAGCCCUGCUCUAGAGGGACCAAUUUGAGAGGAGAGAGUAGAUUAGUCUCCAUGCUUAUUCAAUCCUUGGUGUAU